rnacentral:lncRNA from 1 species
AGAGGAACUGGUUUUCUCAUGCCGACCCAUGUUUGCGAAUGCUGUCGAAAGUUCUUCAGAAUGAAGCUAAUCAAAGUGAAAGUGAUGACAGGACAGAUCGUAUUCGAAAUCCCAGUGACCUGACCACAGGAGGAGCCCCACCACCGAAACCCUGCAAGGAGAACUGCAACAUGAAUCGGCCUUAUGCUCCCUGCCUCCAGACCCUAUUCUUCUGAGCCGUUUUCCUUCCUUGUUGCCUGGGUCUUGACGAGACCUAAAGCAGCCAUCCUAGACCGAAGGUGGAAGCUGGGUGCGGACAAUGGCAGAGUCAACCCUCGGGCCCUGGACCACUUUGGUCUGUUGUGUGAAAUAAAAG